rnacentral:tRNA from 1 species
AAUAAUUAAUAAGAUUAGAUUUCUAAUCUAAUAUUCAAAGGUAAAUAACCUUUAUUUAUUU